UUUUUUUAAAUAAAACUACAUUUACAACAAUUUUCAUUCCUUGAUCAUUGAUUAAAGAAAAUGAUCAGUCAAUUUAUAAUGCAUUCCUAAUGUUUUAUAUGUUUAAUUAAUUUUAAUUUAAUACUAAAGAAUAUAAAAGAUCUUAAAUUCUGACAAAUUGACAUGUAUUAUUGUAGUUUAAAACUGAAAGAAGACACAUAUAAUUGUAAACCUACUUGAGGGCAUAUUAUAUUUUUAGAUUCUCAAAAUUAUUUUUUUGUACUGCAUCCCAUUGUUGGUCUGGGAACAAUUUUUGUGUUUUUUUUUCUGGACUGGAAAUUCAAGAGGAAAACUUCAAACAUCUAACUUUUUUUAUCGUUUUUUAAACUGAUGAUAUAUGUUAUAUUGAGAUAACCGAACUAUGUAUCUUGAACAUAUUUAGUUUUAUAGUGUUAUACUUAAUAUUAUUUAAUUGUGUGCCUUAUUUACGCAAUAUAUGUCUAUAAAUAAUAUAUAAAAUAUUAAUAAUAUAAUUGAUCAUUCCAUUGGUAAUUUUUACAAGUGCUUUAUUAGGCAGUCAUGUGAUAUUUAUGUAUUUUGUCUCGUUAGACAUCAUGUUGUCUCGUUUUGUGUCAUUAAUUUUAACUUUUUGGUUGUAUAUUUAAAUGGUUGUGUAAUUUAAAUGUGUAUUGUUUUCAAAGUUUUCAAAUAGAUGGUCAGACUUCACACGUUUUACAUCAGUAAAUGUAAUUCCUUUAUCUGGAUUUUAUCAUGCAGUUCUGUAAAGGAAAUUUUGUUCUGUUUAGUGUCUGUGAAUAUUACAAUAGUGACAAGAAAAUAGUGCCAAAUUAUUCAUUGCACAAUAAAUUGAAAUUACCGAAAAUAUUUCUAUGAAAAUGUUAAAUGGAAAAUAUGCAAUAUUCUUCAAUAAAUAACUUGUUUGUCUCACAUAAACUAAUGCUGCAUUCACACAUAAUUCGAAUUUCGAUUCGCAUUAACUUAUUCGAAUCAGUUUAAUACGCAUUCGAAAUGUAAAUUCUAAUUCGAAUUGCAAUGUGCGUCAAAUUCGCUUUACUGUCUGAACAACGUUAACUUUUUAUUCGUAUUAACAAAAACGCAUUUUUAAUGCGAAUUAGAUAAUAAGAUUUAGGCAAUUCGAAACCAAUUUGAAUUAAAAAGAAGAGUGUAAACGCGAUUAGCGAAUUCAAUUCGAAUGAAAUGAUUUCGUAAACGAGGCAUUAUUAUAAUCUUGUUUUAAUGAGCAGACACAUAUUAUGAGGUAUAAAUCAGUAAUUACAAAAUCAAACAUUAAAUAUGGCCAAUUGUGAUUUUUCUUGUAGCUUCAAAAUAUUUAAACUCCAAAGAACUCUUUUUAAAAAUGUGAUUAAUUUUUUUGUUGUAAUAACUGUACAAUUUUAGAUAAUUUCCAUGUAAACAUUCCUUUCUCCUCCAAAAGUACAUUUUGUUUGAAAUACUUGGGGAGCUAUAUCACCAAAAUGGUUGCUGUUUUAUGAUACUGGUACGUUCUUAUGGAAAAGCCAUUCUUGUUAAUAAUCAGAUAUUAGUUGUAGGAAUAGAAGCUUUAUAUAUUUCAGCAAUAAUUUUACUGUCGCCAUAUGCAAUAGUUGUUAUAUUAUAAGUACUAUACAAAUCAAGAUUGUUAUAUAAUAAGUAUGUGUACUUUAAAGAACAAGAUUAAUAUAUGAGCUCCAUUGGAUAGAAAUCCACCUUUUGCAAGUGCACCUUUACAUGUACAUGUUUCAUAAUUGAUUGAUUUUGGAACAUUCAAAUAUGAAAUCAAAGAUGAUUAUUGGUCUAUUUUGUAGGAUUUUUAUAUCAAUUUAAAAACUUUUGCAGAUAUUGCAUAAGGACUUUUUUCAACGCAAAAGGUUAGUAGAUAUAUUGAUAAUCAUUUGCAUACAGUUGAUUUCUAUCCGACGCAGCUCAUAUAAUGAGUGCAUGUACUAUAAAGAUCAAGAUUGUAAUACAUGUAUUAUAAGUACUUUAAGAUCAGUAUGAUUUUUUUUCUCACUGUUUUUAUAAUUUCUCUUCUUGUUUAAAAAUGUGACUUGACAUUAUUAUGCUUAUUUUUGUGUAAGUUUAAUAAUCCUUCCAUACAUUCUUAUUUAGUUUAAUACAAAUCAAUUCACCAUAUGUACAUUUCAAAAAUUAAUUCUUGUCAGCAUACUGUAAAUCCCAAAAUAACAUAAAAAUUAUCACAAAAAUUGUUUAAAGUAAUAUCAUUUGAUACCUAGAAUUACCUUAGAAAUUUGUGUAUCUUUGUAAACUGGAAAUGAAGCAUUAGGAAUUUCUUUGUCCCCCCCACAACCAGUCACGAGGGGAAGAAUCAUUACUGCCAUAUUCUUGCUUAGUCCAGUAGUCUUUUUGUUUUUGUACUGCCAGGAUAUUACUAUGAUAUUGAUACAUUUCAGUUGAUCUAAAGUUUGUAGGUAAAGAAAUAAUCCUUGUUUUAAAGUUUUCAUGUUGUGAAGCGUUAUUUACUCACUUAUACUUUGGGAUUUCCAAUAAUUUGUUGAACCUUAUUACAAUUUUACAAAAUUUAAAAUAGCAUUACAGGCAUAUUUUGAGAAUUUAUUAAGCAUUAGUAAUGCUUAAUAAAUUCUCUAAAUAUGCCUGUAAUGCUGUAUGGUAAUUUUGUACAAUUGCAAUGAUGUUCAGCAACAAUUAGGUGAUUUUUUCAUAAAUCUAUUAUGUAUCAAAAGUACUCUUUACUACAAUUUUUGAUGUACGUAAUGUUAAACGUCUUGUAAAAUUUGUGAGAGAUUUUGCAAUUUGGAUUCAGUUCUGAGCAAGUUUUGGUUAUACAUGUACAUCAAUAAUAUUGUAUUUUGUGCAUGUGGUUAACAUGAAUGAGAAAUGAACAAAAGUAAACAAGUAUAACCUACUUUUUACACUUUAGACUUAGGCACUGAGAUAAUGUUAUAUUCAAAAGAAACAAUUUUGACAUUAUUGAAGGUGUAGCUUAGUUCUAAAAUUUCAUGCUUCUGAACUAUUUUUGGGGCAAAGGGAUGAUUGUUAUUUUUCAUUUGGUACCCCCUUCUAUAAGUGUCUGGCUUGGAUUUAAAGAAUUUUACACAAUUUUUAUUGUUUUUUUUUUGUUUCUGUAAUAAAACAAAUAUUUAAAUAUCUUAACCUUAGAUUUUUUUAUGCUUGAUUUCACUUAAGUACAGCAAUGAAAAGUCCAAAGGGACCAACAAAUGUUUUGGAAUGCAAUGGGUUUCAACCACCUAACAACAAUAUAAUAUGUCAAAUGGUUGCAUUCUCCUUCUUUAUAUACUAGGACCCAUGUUGACUUGCUGUGAUCAUAUCUAUUUGCACUCAGCAAUCAGCGUAGUCCUUUAUUGAAAAUCCUAGAACUCACAAUAGUGAGUUGUAACUUGCAAUAUUUCUUGUGAUAUAUGUUAAUCCUUUCAGUAAGAAAUAAACAUAUCAGUAUCAAAUUCAUUGUGUUGUUUAUAUAUUGGUUCUUGUGCCAGCAUUUAACCAAAAAUAGUUAUCUGGUGGAAGCAUAUUGACCUAAAAAUCUCUUGACUGAUCAAAGGACUUUUUAUAUGCCUGUCAAAAUUUUGACGGACGUAAUAUGGUAUACAAAUGUCCGGUGUCUGUCCGUCUGUCGUACCGUCCAUCCGUCCGCCCGUCGUAACGUCUGUCCGUCUGUCUGUCCGGCGUAAACAUGUCGCACCGUUACUUGAGAACGACUUAUCCAAAUUUCAUGAAACUUAA
rnacentral:lncRNA from 1 species